rnacentral:rRNA from 1 species
AUUGAACGCUGGCGGCAGGCCUAACACAUGCAAGUCGAACGGUAACAGGAAGAAGCUUGCUUCUUUGCUGACGAGUGGCGGACGGGUGAGUCAUGUCUGUGAAACUGCCUGAUGGAGGGGGAUAACUACUGGAAACGGUAGCUAAUCCCGCAUAACGUCGCAAGACCAAAAAGGGGGACCUUCGGGCCUCUUGCCAUCGGAUGUGCCCAGAUGGGAUUAGCUAGUAGGUGGGGUAACGGCUCACCUAGGCGACGAUCACUAGCUGGUCUGAGAGGAUGACCAGCCACACUGGAACUGAGACACGGUCCAGACUCCUACGGGAGGCAGCAGUGGGGAAUAUUGCACAAUGGGCGCAAGCCUGAUGCAGCCAUGCCGCGUGUAUGAAGAAGGCCUUCGGGUUGUAAAGUACUUUCAGCGGGGAGGAAGGAAGUAAAGUUAAUACCUUUGCUCAUUGACGUUACCCGCAGAAGAAGCACCGGCUAACUCCGUG